CUUUUCGAGGUAGGAGUCGACUCCUGUGAGGUAUGGUGCUGGGUGCAGAUGCAGUGUGGCUCUGGAUAGCACCUUAUGGACAGUUGUGUCCCCAAGGAAGGAUGAGAAUAGCUACUGAAGUCCUAAAGAGCAAGCCUAACUCAAGCCAUUGGCACACAGGCAUUAGACAGAAAGCUGGAAGUUGAAAUGGUGGAGUCCAACUUGCCUGGACCAGCUUAAUGGUUCUGCUCCUGGUAACGUUUUUAUCCAUGGAUGACUUGCUUGGGUAAGGACAUGAAGACAGUUCCUGUCAUACCUUUUAAAGGUAUGGAGAGUCGGCUUGACUACACUGUGUGGAGCAAGUUUUAAAGAAGCAAAGGACUCAGAAUUCAUGAUUGAAGAAAUGCAGGGUUUUUAAUGACCACAACAAGCAAGCAUGCAGCUUACUGCUUGAAAGACAGGGUCUUGCCUCACCCAAGCUAGAGUGCAGUGGCCUUUGAAGCUUACUACAGCCUCAAACUUCUGGGCUCAAGUGAUCCUCAGCCUCCCAGUGGUCUUUGUAGACUGCCUGAUGGAGUCUCAUGGCACAAGAAGAUUAAAACAGUGUCUCCAAUUUUAAUAAAUUUUUGCAAUCCA
rnacentral:lncRNA from 1 species